rnacentral:rRNA from 1 species
GAUGAACGCUAGCGAUAGGCUUAACACAUGCAAGUCGAGGGGCAGCAUGGUCUUAGCUUGCUAAGACUGAUGGCGACCGGCGCACGGGUGCGUAACGCGUAUGCAACUUGCCUCACAGAGGGGGAUAACCCGUCGAAAGACGGACUAAUACCGCGUACACUUGGGAUAGGGCAUCCUGACCCAAGGAAAUGAAAUUCGCUGUGAGAUAGGCAUGCGUCCCAUUAGCUAGUUGGUGAGGUAACGGCUCACCAAGGCGACGAUGGGUAGGAGAACUGAGAGGUUGAACCCCCACACUGGUACUGAGACACGGACCAGACUCCUACGGGAGGCAGCAGUGAGGAAUAUUGGUCAAUGGGCGAGAGCCUGAACCAGCCAAGUCGCGUGAAGGAUGACUGUCUUAUGGAUUGUAAACUUCUUUUAUACGGGAAUAACAAAAGCCACGUGUGGCUCCCUGCAUGUACCGUAUGAAUAAGCAUCGGCUAACUCCGUG